UACGUAGGGUGCGAGCGUUAAUCGGAAUUACUGGGCGUAAAGUGUGCGCAGGUGGCCGCGCAAGUCGGGUGUGAAAUCCCCGAGCUUAACUUGGGAAUUGCGCUCGAAACUACGUGGCUCGAGUGUGGCAGAGGAAGGUGGAAUUCCACGUGUAGCGGUGAAAUGCGUAGAGAUGUGGAGGAACACCGAUGGCGAAGGCAGCCCCCUGGGCUAACACUGACGCUCAUGCACGAAAGCGUGGGGAGCAAACAGG
rnacentral:rRNA from 1 species